AUGGCGCUUAAGGACUACGCGAUAGAGAAAGAAAAGGUAAAGAAAUUCCUCCAAGAAUUUUAUUAUGAUGGUGAACUUGGAAAGAAGCAGUUCAAGUAUAGGACCCAGUUGGUUCAUCUGGCUCAUCGGGAACAAGUGGCACUGUAUGUGGACCUAGAUGAUAUAGCUGAAGAUGACCCUGAGUUGGUUGACUCAAUUUGUGAGAAUACCAAGCGCUACCCAAGGCUGUUUGCUGAUGUUGUACAGGAGCUUCUACCUGAGUACAAGGAAAAGGAGGUGGUAAAUAAGAAUGUCCUGGAUGUUUACAUUGAACACUGGCUGAUGAUGGAGCAGCGAAGCAGAGACCCUGGGGCAGUUCAGAACCCCCCAAACCAGUAUCCUUCUGAGCUCAUGCGAAGAUUUGAGUUGUAUUUCCAAGGCCCAAGUAGCAGCAAGCCUUGAGUGAUCUGGGAAGUAGGAGUUGAUUCUGUGGGGGAAUUGUUAACUGUGCGUGGCAUUGUCACUCGUGUGUCUGAAGUCAAGCCCAGGAUGGUGGUGGGUGCAUACACUUGCGAUCAGUGUGGGGCAGAGACCUACCAGUUGAUCCAGUCUCCCACAUUCAUGCCUCUGAUGUGCCCCAGCCAAGAGUGCCAAACCAAUCGCUCUAGAGGGCGGGGGUCAUCUGUACCUACAGACUCGUGGCUCCAAAUUUGUCAAAUUCCAGGAAAUGAAGAUUCAAGAACAUAGUGACCAAGUUCCUCGUAGCAUCACAGUGGUUCUAGAAGGUGAGAACACAAGGACUGCCCAGCUUGGGGACAAUGUCAGCGUCACUGGCAUCUUCUUGCCAGUCCUGCGCACGGGGUUCCAACAGAUGGCACAGGGUUUACUCUGUGUGGCCAAAUCUCAGCUCCUAUCUUACAUUGACCGUUUGGAGCCCGGAAGUCAGUACACAACAGGCCGGGGCUCCUCUGGUGUAGGACUCACAGCGGCUGUGUUGAGAGACUGUGAGUGGGGAACUAACCUUAGAGGUGGCGCCCUGGUGCUGGCUGACCAGGGUGCGUGCUGCGUUGAUGAGUUUGACAAGAUGGCUGAGGCUGACAGCACAGUCAUCCAUGAGGUUAGGGAACAACAGACCAUCUCCAUUGCCAAGGCAGGAAUUCUCACCACACUCAAUGCCCGAUGCUCUAUCCUGGCUGCAGCCAACCCUGCCUAUGGACAAUAUAACCCCCGCUGCAGUUUGGAGCAGAAUAUAGAGCUUCCAGCUGCUCUGCUUUCUCGGAUUUGACCUCCUCUGGCUGAUUCAAGACCGGCCCAACAGAGAUAGUGACCUCCGGUUGGCCUAGCACAUCACCUAUGUCCACCAGCAGAGUCGGCAGCCCUCAGUGCCUGAAUCUCUGGCUGACUACAUCACUGCAGCAUAUGUGGAGAUGAGGCGAGAGGCCUCGGGCUAGUAAGGAUGCCACCUAUACUUCUGCCCGGACCCUGCUGGCCAUUCUCCGACUUUCCACUGCUCUGGCUCGCCUUCGGAUAGUAGAUAUUGUGGAGAAGGAAGAUUUAAAUGAAGACGUAAGGUUUAUGGAGAUGUCAAAGGACUCCCAUCUAGGUGAAAAGGGACAAACUGCUAGGACCCAGAGGCCAACAGAUGUGAUAUUUGCCACCGUCCAUGAAUUGGUGUCAGGGGGGCGGAGUGUCCGCUUUUCUGAGGCAGAACAGCGCUGCAUAUCAAGUGGCUUCACACCAGCCCAGUUCCAGGCAGCUUUGGAUGAGUAUGAGGAGCUAAAUGUCUGGCAGGUCAAUACUUCCCGGACACGGAUCACUUUUGUCUGAUAGCCAGUUUUUUAAGUCCUGUUGCCUACGCCAGAGGGUGUGCCAGAUGCCCCCUCAAGAAAAAUCUCAUUUUCCCAUGCUGCACUUUUUUAUUUUUCCAAUAAAGUAUUUUGACUG